AAAGGGAGUAAUGGAGCUUUUGUAGGCGUAGUUUAUUCUGCAGUAUUCGGGUUUCGGGUUUAUAAAGCUAUUUCAGCGUCCUACCUAGACAGUGUUACUUUUAGGGGUCUGCAUUUUAAGGUAGUGAAAUAAGUGGAUUUUGUAUUAUUUUCAAUGUGACUACUUAUAGUUGAGUGACAGGACAAACUCAGGAGGAAUCGUCUCCCCUUUACAUUGCUGAAGAAGCUAAAGUGUCGAGAUGCACAAGAGUCGCGCGGCGUCGUACGAUGGCAAGAUCGCAGGACUGUACGACCUGGAGGCGACGCUGGGCAGUGGACACUUUGCUGUGGUCAAGCUGGCGCGUCACGUCUUCACUGGCGAGAAGGUUGCGGUCAAGGUCAUCGAUAAGACCAAGCUGGACGACGUCUCCAGAGAUCAUCUGUUCCAAGAGGUGCGAUGUAUGAAGCUGGUGCAACACCCGAACGUUGUGCGGCUUUACGAGGUGAUAGACACACAGACCAAGCUAUACCUCAUACUGGAGCUGGGCGACGGAGGCGACUUGUACGACUACAUCAUGCGACACGAGGCGGGACUGAGCGAGGGAGUGGCGCGUGAGUACUUCCGUCAGAUAGUGCGUGCCAUCUCCUACUGCCACAAGCUGCACGUCGUACAUCGGGACUUGAAACCGGAGAAUGUGGUGUUCUUCGAGAGGGUCGGAGUUGUCAAACUGACAGACUUUGGUUUCAGCAAUAGAUUCUGUCCUGGCCAGAAGCUGGAGACUUCUUGUGGAUCUCUUGCUUAUUCAGCGCCGGAGAUUCUCCUCGGAGAUUCUUACGACGCUCCCGCAGUCGACGUCUGGUCGCUGGGAGUCAUACUGUACAUGUUGGUGUGUGGCCAGGCUCCCUUCCAAGAGGCUAAUGACAGCGAGACCCUCACUAUGAUCAUGGACUGCAAGUACACUGUGCCAAGUCACGUCUCUGAAGGCUGCCGCAGGCUGAUAGGCCGGAUGUUGGUGAGGCAGCCGGAGAAGAGGGCCACUCUGGAGGAGAUAGCCAGUGAUUCGUGGCUGGUAGAGGGAGAUACGGGUCAAGACUUGUCCAUGCCUCUAGUAUCCAGACAACAACUGUCAGAUGAGGACCAUACCCUCAUAGUGCAGAAGAUGGUCAAUGGAAAGAUUGCUACCAAAGAGGAAAUAUUAGAUGCGCUGGAUAAAAAUGAGUACAACCACAUAACGGCGACCUACUUCUUGCUGGCCGAGAGGAAACUGAGGUCGCAGGAGCCGAAGCAAGUCAAGAGCCCGGGUGUGUGUGCGCCGAGUGUGCGGGUGGACUCGUGUGAAGGUUCGACGCCGGUCGUUGCGCCUGCGCCCACGUCCGUCGGACUGCUGAGGUCGGCCGAGCGAGCGCGCAAGUGCAGCAUCGUGGCGGAAGAGGAGGACGACGAAGAUGACCGAGGCAGCUGCGGAAGUCACUCCUCUUUGAGCCGUCGUGGCAGCCGCAGUGAGGGUAAACUGCAUCUGGCCGUGCAGGAGCUGCGGAGGGAGGCGGUACCUGUUAAUAUCAUCACUGAGGCGUCCACGGCACCCAGUCCUCUCCACACGUCGGGACACGCUCCAGUAAGGUCAGUCAAGACACUUCCUGCACCUCUCCCCACUGCACUCAGCUCACCUCAGAUAGGUCUGGGCGAGAUCUCCGAGGAAGGGAAGGAGGGGCAGGCCAAGCCCACGGGCACGCCGCGCUUCACAGCCUACGAACAACGGAGAAACAAGUUCCGCAAGACUCGGACUGCGUCGUGUAGCUCGUCUGAUGCCAGUGACGAAGACUCUGAGGGGAGAAAGAAACGUGGGAGUACAAAGUCCCUACACAGAGGGAGAGAUCCCCAGGAUCCGGGGGGAAGUGGGGGAGGUUCCGGAGGGACAGGUGGCGCUCCACCUCCAGGGGGAAGUGCGUCAGGGGGAGCAGGUAACUUCCCGCCAGCCAGUAAGGGUCUAGGAGGUGCUGGACCGGGCCAGGGAGGCCCCACCCAAGGUCAUCGCCAGUGUCUCAACAGCCGUCACCGUCGCAGGGCCGGGGAAACACGACUCAGGGAGAGUCAAAGUCUAAACAGGAUUACUGAGGUUCAGGAAGGAGAGCCGCCGGUGUCGCCCAAACUGCCGCCCAGCCCUGUAGAGCGUGAUGCUGCAGAGGUGAGGAAACACCAGUCCAAGCGUAACGCUCUCAUCGGCCGAUACCUCAGUCUGCAGCGCAAGCUGUGCGUGUGGAGCCGCGGCCGUGUACGCAAGGACAUCAACCAGAACCUCGGCUCUGCGGCAGUCGCGGUACGUGUCAUUGACUUCAGUUCUAGAGGUUGAGUUCAUAAAUGUCGCAAAGGUUGCAGCUUCCAUCGGGAUGUGUCACCUGCAUUCUCACAUGGGAGGUGAUACCAAAUGCUGCAAUCUCUGCUGACACAAUAUUAACGACUGAGCCGUGGUGGGGACGUUGUAGGUCUGAGUUGUUUGUUCUCUGCUGGUCGGCUGACUCCAACCCAGAUCUCCGAGUCUCACUACGGCCAACACGACAGAAUCAAAUCUAUUCCAAAGUCUUGUGUCAUCUUCGUAAGUCACCACCAAAGCAAUAAUAAUAGUUGGAUUUCCGUCGCCUUUUCGUUCGUUUUGAACUUUGGUUACGAUAUUGAUCGUCAAAAUUUUAAACACAACCAAAGCUGUAAUUUUAAGGUUAUCGCUUUAAACGUGUCUUAAGUAAUUUAUUAAUGUUAUUUAAUGUUAAGUCCAUUCUGUAAAAUAUUUGUACAUAUAAUUUGCAUUUGUUUGUUAUGUUUUUUAAUAGUUUACAUUUUACAUUUAUAUCCAUCCGUUUCACUGUAGUUUAUAUUUAAGUGUUUAAU